rnacentral:rRNA from 1 species
UACACUCCUGCGGGAGGCAGCAGUGGGGAAUUUUGGACAAUGGGCGAAAGCCUGAUCCAGCAAUGCCGCGUGAGUGAAGAAGGCCUUCGGGUUGUAAAGCUCUUUUGUCAGGGAAGAAACGGUGAAAGCUAAUAUCUUUUGCUAAUGACGGUACCUGAAGAAUAAGCACCGGCUAACUACGUGCCAGCAGCCGCGGUAAUACGUAGGGUGCAAGCGUUAAUCGGAAUUACUGGGCGUAAAGCGUGCGCAGGCGGUUUUGUAAGUCUGAUGUGAAAUCCCCGGGCUCAACCUGGGAAUUGCAUUGGAGACUGCAAGGCUAGAAUCUGGCAGAGGGGGGUAGAAUUCCACGUGUAGCAGUGAAAUGCGUAGAUAUGUGGAGGAACACCGAUGGCGAAGGCAGCCCCCUGGGUCAAGAUUGACGCUCAUGCACGAAAGCGUGGGGAGCAAACAGGAUUAGAAACCCUUGUAGUCC